GGCGAGCAACACAAAAACCUUCGCCUUCCGCGAGCCGCACGUCAAAUAGCCGCGAUCGGCAGCCACACUUCAAAGGGAUCGCCGCGCCCGCCCAAUCGCCGAUCUCGCCGGGACCCCGGGGCGGGGAGAGCGCCCGGCGCCGCCGGUGGGCGGGGAGAGCCUUAAAGGGGCCGCGCCCGCGAGCCGAGGCGCCGCGGCCUGGACCCACCGCCGGCCUCCUCCCCUGCCCCCAACAGGGCCGGCCCGGGCCCCGGGGUCCCGGCGAGAUCAGGGCUUCCCCGGGGACCCUGGGCUAUGCGCCCUGCCCUCCGUGGGCUUUCCUGUCGCUCUGCGCUUUCUCCCUUCGCACGGCUGGGGUUGGGUGGGGUGGUGCUGGCCGGGGAAGGGGGACAGGUCACCCGCAGUCCGUGUGUCUCUGGGGUGGGGUGAACUGGGUGGGCUGGGGGACGGGGUAGGAGCCCCUGGCGGCCGGCUCCGGGACUGCCAAGUCCCAGCCGCUCCCGGAGGCCGCCUGGGGGCGGGCCGCGCCUCCAGAACCCCAGCUCGGCUCGGGUCCUGCUCGGGUUUUCAGCUCUUUCCCCCCUGACUUGGCUUCCUCCCGGGUGUGCUCACUAGGAAGCGCCCGAACCUCGGAGGCAGCCACAGUUCUCGCGACGCGGCGAAAACCGCUCCAGCAACUUUGAGCCAGCCCUGUCCGCAGCCUGCAAGUUUGAGGACUCCCCUUCCGGGGUGAGAUGGUCUCGAUAAGGCGCGAUCCCCGCUUGUGGUGCGCGCCGCCGGGACGCGCCUGGCGCGCGGUGCCUGCGUACCGAUUUAUAGGUUCGAUGCUUGGGUGUGUUCCGGGUUUCUUACAGCGUGCUGCUUAGGGGCACACAAUUCUCUCAUGGCACCGCGCCUGACUGCUGUUUCAGGGGUAGCGGGUGGGUAGGGACGUGGAGGGGUUUGCAUCCUAGAAGAGGCGGGGUCUCUGUAAACGCAGCAAGUCGAUGUAAGCGCCAAAGAUGCGGCUCCUCCACGCCCCGCCCCCCUUUUCUUCUCGAGGGGGAAGAUGCCCUAGGUUUUCCCAGGGGAAUUUCGGAAUUAAAAACUUUUAAAUGAAAAUAACAGUACCCCCCUCCACCCUGUCUCCUUCCUCCCGUGCCUUUCGGAUAAAGUAUGCAUUGCCAGCUUCGCACCCGACAGAGAUUUCACAUAGUCCCUGUCCUGGCGUUGGAGUCCCCCGUCCGCCGAUCGGAGGGUGAAGUUGGCCCUUUGUACGCAGGCCUUUGGGGAGACCCCUUUCCCGGUUCUCUCGGCGGCCAGUGGAGGCGCGCUGGUGUCACUGCCCCGCUCUGAGCACCCCUUUUCCAGCCCGCAUCUGUCACUCGGAUUGUCGGGUCUGUCACUCGGGGCAUAUUGUUCCCGGACUGCCGGUCCCUGACUCUGCUGCUCGUUGAUCAACGCCCUGAGAUGCCCAGAAGGGCAGAGACGAUUUCAAAGGCGUUCUUCCAACAGAAACGAGUAUCACAGAAAUAACAAAUGGCAGUCUUUAUGAUGCUCAGUAGAGAAGGCACCAGGCACCACUCCCAGGCCACGUCAAUCAAACACUAAACUGAAUGUACUCCUUGGAUCAGUCUGGUUUUUGGACAGGAUGUCUAGACCUCUAAGAAAUUACACAGGCGUUCCCUACCCCGAUUUUAAUCCUGAUAAAAUUAGGUUACAAUGAAUGCCAAGGGAUGUCCUGACUGGGUGAUGUAUUCCAUACCGCAGCAAGGAGGGUACAAGACGGAGGGGGGAGACCCCAUUUAUUUUAUUGUGGUGGUCCCUAUCCCCUGCCCACUCCUCCUUCUCCUGCCAGCCUCUGAGCACUCUGACAUCCUUGCCACUGCCAGUGUCAAGUCUAAAUGACCACUGCAAGGCUGCUUCAAUCUACCAGGUGAUUUGGCCUUUGGGAGACUUCUCUGCAGAGAGAGCGAGCAGAACCUUCCAGAAUGAAGACGGUGGGCCUUGGUAGGCCACUUUGGAGGAGGAGGAUCUGGGAAGAGGGGAGCCCUAGGAGACAGGAAAAGAUGAAAGACCCCUUCUUGAUGAUCACAACCAGCCCAGCUGUGAACGCCAGCCAAGGACUCCUGCUCGGACCCUGCAGAUGGUCCUCUGCCCAUGGAAUUCUCCAGGCAAGAAUUCUCGAGUGGGCUGCCAUACCCGUCUCCAGAGGAUCUUCCCAACCCAGGGAUUGAACUCACAUCUCCUGCAUUGCAGGUGGAUUCUUUGCCACUGGAUGCUAGAGGAUUAUUACAAUCGUAAGUACCCUACAAAUGAACUGUCAAGUUUGGAACUUUCAAAGAUGCAAACAUCCGUUCCAUCAACAUCAGGCGUGAGUGAAAUCGCAGCUUGUCCUCCGUCUCCUAUUGCUGGUGGCGAUCCUUCAGCUCUGCCAUCUCCCACCUCCUCUCUCUCCUCCAGUGACUCUUCUCCCCCCUUCACUCGAUGCCACCCCGGAUGCCCAUCAUUGUACUGUCUUACUGUACUUUUCAAGGUACUGUACUAUAAGGUUAAAAAUCUCUUUGUGUGUUUGUUUCAUAUGUAUCUCUUGUGUGAAAACUACUAUAAACCUAUUAUAGUACAGUAUUAACAGUAUUAAUACUGUUACAGUAUUAUAAACCUAUGUACCUGAUUGUGUUAGCUGGGUACCUAGACUAACUUUGUUGGACUUAUGAACAAGUUGGACUUACAAAAGCGCUCUUGGAACAGAACUUGUUCCUAUGUAGGGGUCUUACCAUAUAUAUAAUAUAUAUCAUUCUCCAUGUGUGCUAAUAAAAUUAUAGGGUAAGUUCCUAGGAAUAGAAUUGCAGGGCUGAAAGCUAUAUGUGUUCAAAACAAGCCCCUUUCAAGAAAGUAGGUAGGACCCAACACACCCUUGGAGUGAGAAGUUCAGCCGAGGGACUCAGGGAAGAAAGCCAGGGCAACGCCUCCAGGAACUUCUGGGCGUUCAUCUGGAGAAGGCUCAGGAAGAAGGGUUCCAUUUCCAUCUCUGGAUUUAAGAAAAUGUGCGUGCUUCUCUCGCUUUCCUCUUUCUUCUUGUCCCACCUUCUCCCUCAUUUAGCAGAAGGAAGAGGAGAGGAAAAAUUACGUCCAGCCUCAAGGAAUCCAUGAUUUUGAUAAAUACACAUUUUAAUAUUGCCAACUUUCCAAUCAGUGAACCCUAACAGAAACGCUGGAUUGUUUGCACCUUUUUUCGUUCAUGCUCACAAGAAGGCAGAAGUUUGUGCCGAAGAUAAUCCGGAGACUGCUGUUGUAUCCAUGGAGGUUUGUAUCUGGUUCUCACUGCAAAUUUCCAGCACGAGGCUUGUGAUGUGUCUGAAGACAUCAAAUCAUGACAUCAGUAAUUACUAUUAGCAGAGUGCUUGCCAAAGCGGCUGAGCAGUCUUCACUUUGUUCAUAUUUGAAUAUUGUAUUUUUGGAUAGGUAUUGCCUGCAGAAUUCAAAGGUACCAAGGGCAUGGGUAUGUAACUUCUCAACAAGGAUUGAGAUGAUAAGAGUUUUCUGCUUUAUAGACCAUUUGCCAAGAAAAAAAAAAAAAACUAAAAAAAGAGCAGCAGACGAUGCUGUUCUACAGGUGUUUGGACACCUUAGUUUCUUGCUGCAAAGAUGCACAGGAAAGCCUCUGUCUCCUCUAGUUCAGGCCCAGGGCUGGGCCUCCUUGGUCCGCUGAGUCCAAGCUCACUUUUUGUGAGUGACCUUGAUCCUGUGACACUGGGAGGAAUCAGGACUGCAUGCAGUAUUGAUGGGCCAUAGAAUCAGGAUAAACAUUCAUUCCAGACUGUCUAAAGUAGAAUUCUAGGGGUGUCCCUGGUGGUCCAGUGGCUAAGACUCCAUGCUCCCAUUGCAGGGGACCCGGACUCAGUCCCCAGUCAGGGAACUAGAUCCCACAUGCUGAGACUAAAGAGCCCAUGUGUGGCACAGCCAAAAUAAAUACUUAUAUAUAAAAAAAGAAUUGUACCAUCUUGAAGACCUUUCUCAGGCAUCCUGAGGGUACCCCUUCCACGUUUCCCAAGGUCCAUCUUGAUACAUCGAACACAACCGCUUUCUGCCAGGCUGUCUUUGUUUUUCUCAUUCAUUUCCUGAAAUAAAUAAUAAAUCAAUGCAAAAAUGAUAAAAACAACAGCAACAACCAAAAAAAAAAAAAAAAAAACAACACACACACACACAACCCAAACAAUCCAAACCAGAAUAGUACAGUAGCUGCAAACGCUGAGGAGACCGUGUCCUUUUCCUUAUGAUGUUUAUGCCUGUUCCACAUCAGGCCCCGGGUGAAUUUUUCCCCCACUGCAGUCGACAUGCAUAAUGACAAUCUCAUUUAUGACAGGAGACAUGUUUUUGUUUUAAAACAACUGACAGAGCUGCGAGAUGGGGAACGACAAGAAAGUGCGA